GGAGGAUAUUAGCUCAUGGGUGGCACUUCAGUACCAUCACUGUAUCGCUUCCACUCCUGUCUUGGCAUGGAUCUUGAGAGUUCCAGGAAGAGAGCAGGAUGAAGACUGAAGGCUCCUAAUUGAGCCAGACGCUGCAGCCAGCUUCCUGCUUUGCUAAAGGCAUAAUUUUCAAACAGAAGUGAUCCAAGCUACUUGAGGAGGCAGAAAGCAUCACAUCCACAAAAACAACGCUGUUAAGAACUUCUGUACGUGUAAGUGACAACAGGAUGGUUAUGAGAGCUCUGUGUAGUGAUUCAUUCUUCCAGGAGCUCCCAACAUUUAACGUUACUUUCUGACCUCACCAGGCAGCAGUCGUAAGCAGCUUAUAUAAUAAUGACAAAUGUGAAAAAUGGCAUUAAAGGAAAUCACUAUAGUCACUGGAAAAAAAGUGUCUGUUGUGGAGCUGAAUGUUAGUUUGUGGUCAGUUCUGUACAAGGCAGUACUUUUCAUUUUACGAGCAGGAUGAUGUAUUUUAUAACACCUCCCUUCCCCUGAGAGCUGAAAAGUAAAAUGUGAACUCUUUAUAGUGUCUCCGAUGUAACUGUGAGACACCAAAUUUCUCCAGAUCAGGCAAAUUUCUCAGUGUUGCAUAAGGCAAAAAAGUAGAAUCCCAGCCAUUCUGUCAUGUUUUUAUUUGGUUGUAAUGCUGACAGGUCCAUGGACUUGUUUUCAUCAUUAGUGGGCACAGUUAGGCACUUUUUUAUUUACUUAUUUAUUUUUAAUACUUGUCCUGUGUCUUUUUGCAACUGAACAGUCCUUUGAAGCUGGGAAAUUGCAUUAAGAUGAGCAAAAAGAAAAAGGAAGGAUUUCUCUCGUUGGCACUGCCAUAUGUCUUUCCAGGUGGAAGUACGACAGGGCACAGCAAGGCAGGGAUUGUAAAGGGGACCCUGUUGUGUGUGGCUCCUGGAAAGCAUAUGGUGCAGCAGUGUCUCAGCUCUGACUGUGAAUUUUUCAUCUUGUGUUCUCUGGUAAAUAGAAUAAUUCCAUUGUAUGCUCCAAUUUUCUGUUUGUGCUUAGGGACAGAGUGCUGCUUCAUCACCAGUACUGCCUUCUGGGUCAGGACCUACCUCAGAGAGAACCUUGGAAGAAACACAGUAAAGGCAUGAUUUACUCUGGAAAAUACUGGGAGCCACGUAUGAGUGAAGGGACAACUAUAAGCUGUAAAUCUGCCAGCUUUCGGAGCUGCAGUCAGCUGCCCUGAGCCUUGGCGUACAGCGUUGGUUCUGCAGACAGUAUUGAUACAGGAUGUACUUAGAACAGCCCCUUCCUAUUGAAUUCCGGGAACUUUACGCAGAAUCGUGCUAAUAUUACCUCUAGCGCCUUUUCAUGUCAGCCUUUACUUAAAAAGCAUUUUGUACUUUGGGAUGCGGGGCACUUAUUGAGUCAUUGGAAGUGACAGCAGAGAGAUGUAAUCAAUGGUUCACUGCAGGGAAAGAGAGUAUUGGGAGGCUGCAGGUCGAGUGAAUUUUUGCCUGUCAUCGUCAUUUAUCUCCCUUGCUAUUUGUCAGCUUUCCAAAGAUCACCCAAGGAAUUGGGAUGCAUUUGCCUUCCAAGCCUCUCAGGAGUGCAAUUCUUACUGUUUGGUAAUGGAGAUGAGAAAGAGAUUGCUGUAAAAUAUUUACACUUAUGGUUUAUAACUGUCGUUGAAGUCUUUUCUGGGUAAAUUGCCUUUAUUUAAUACAAGAAAAACAAUUUAGUAGAAUCUCACCAGGUGUCUCUGGAUCUUCCAGGAAGAACGUGGACCCACUGAGGAGUUCUCAGUUCUCCUUUCCAGGAACUGAAGUGGUCUGACCCUGCUGCCUUUAUGCUUUAAUGCAGCAUUUCUGCAUUCUUAGCUGCUCAUGUUGUUCUAACAAAAUGCCUCUUUUUGGGCUAAGCGCUGGGCAAAUCAUCAGUCCUGGACCGUGAACUCAGUUAUACAUAUCCCGACUCAAGAUUUGAGGAGGAAAUAGCUGCUGGUCUGUUUUAGUUGGCAUGUAGGUUCUGUGCUUUGUUAGCAGUUCUCUUUGGCUGCUGCUUCUGUCAAUACCCAGUGCCUGAUUGCACACGGAAAAACUGUGUGUAAUGAUCCUUGUUGGUUCAUUGCGUCUUCCUUGUGAUCUGGGCAUGCUUUCAGCAUUUUGUUAUUCCUAGACUAUUAGCUGUUACCACUUAUUUUUUUUAGAGCAGUUUCUUAUUUUUCAGUCAAACUUACUUCGUAGUUAAUUUUGGUCUUCUGUUACUUUUAAUAUUUGAAUUCAAAUGUAUAUUUCAGUAUUCUGGUAAUAAACUUCUGUCUAUCAGUAUUCAAUCCUUGCUUGAGUCAUGCGUUUUCUGACAUUUCUAGAGUGCAGCAAUCUGUUCUAAGAAGAAAACCAAGUACUCCUCAGUUUUAGUGGAUGUCAUUGUUUAUAUUUACUUGCUUAAAGACAACCAGAUGCACGUAAAGAACCUCCACCUUAAGGGAUAUGUAACUAUUGGAAAUGUGACUACAGCCGUUAGGUAUGUUUUCACAUGAGGGACUUCCUAACCCUGCAGCUGAAAUGGAUGCAAUUUCCAGUUCACAGCUAAUAAAAAUACCAAUAUCAGAAAGCAGGAUCAAACUCCUGUAGGCCUCUGUUCCCUCUUUUAGACGUCUAUUCCCUCUGUGCUGUAGACAUCUAUUCCCUCCACACCCUGUUGUGCAAGAAGUGUUAAUGCUUAGACACGGAGAGUCUUGCUCUGUUGUAUGUGUCUGUAAACCCACAAACUUCAGUGUCACGUGCUUUGGAAUUAAAAUGACCUACGAAAGCAGAAAUACUGUUUUUUGCAAAACACUUUGAGAUGUGCAAAGCUCCAAGCAGUGCCGCUUCUAACGUGGUCCUACCUCUUUAAAGUUGGAACAGAAUGAGGAAUAAUUAGGUAAAUUAAUCCCAUAUGCAGUGCUUUUCACUUUGCAAGGAGAAAAAUGGUUUGAGUUAGGGGUGAAAGCAUUGUGCUUCAAACCUUAGGAUUGCGUUUUAAACCUUCGGAGUCAUUAAGUUUUCUGGGACACCUUAAUUAUUAUUUCUAAUUUGUUCCUCUCCCUACCAGUAAUAGCUAGAAUGCUUUUUGAAAGCUGAAUGAAAUGAAAACAGGCACAAGAAGGAAGGAAGGCAUUUGGAUGGAUGAUGCCAUCAUCUACGCUUUGGUUUUAAUCCCAGUUAGGAGUUGUGUAAGUGGCAGGGCCAAGACUACUUCAUGGGGGUCUUGAGCAAGGCACUGUUUCUGGGUGCCGUAGCCUGGGGACAGAGCUUUCUCCAGGUGAGCCUCUGCUGUGGCCAUCAAGCCUCACUGAAAAAGAGGUCAUGUGAAUCACGAACUUCAGGAUCUACCCCCAUUUUAAUGCAUUUUUUAAUUCAUUAAUGUAUUUGAUACUGUGGGUUGCUAUUUGCACUGAAGGUAGUUGAGUGAAUGGACACCAUGUUACUAUUCUGCGUUAAGAAUUAUGCACAUGAAGAAGAAGCAGGGAUGGUAGUUACCCUUGUUCUGUGUGUGGGAUGUUCGUUUGUUCCCAGGGAAACGAUUAAGGCAGCGUUUGAAGAGUACAAAUGAGGAAAUAUGUUCAAGCAGAGCUGCAGGCAGGAUCUUACAGAAGAGUGAGUAAACCUUUGCAUUAACCAGAUCCGAGGUGGAGGUUUCCAUUAGUGAAUGGAGACCUAAAAAGAGACCUUAAGAGUAUACAGAAAAUUAAACGACACAGCGUGAUAUUAGGGAUGUGUUGUGGUGUUUUCAGCCUGCAUAAUGCUUUAAUCCCCAGAUCCAGUGUCCUACAGUCAUCAGCUGUAAUUAAUCGGGAAUGAAAUGCUCAGCUCAAUUCUGUUUUUUCAUAUCAAAUUUGGCUCCUAACCAUACUGCCUUCCUAUGUCUCAGUGAAGGUUGGGUUCAGUAUGUGAUUUGGAUCUUCUCCUGACUGCAGGCCUUAUGAAAAGUUGUGUUUGACUUAAACAGUGAGACUUGCUUGCUGCAAGCUGUUUGGUUUUCCCUCUGGACAUUCACUAGCCUGUAAUAAGAAAGUGAAUUUUUAAGUGUUUUAAAGUGUGUUUUCAGUGUGUUCUUAGGAGAUCCGGGCAGAGCUGAGUCACUGUUCCUAUCCCAGCCCUGUGUUGGAGC
rnacentral:lncRNA from 1 species